rnacentral:rRNA from 1 species
UACGUAGGGGGCUAGCGUUGUCCGGAUUUAUUGGGCGUAAAGAGCGUGUAGGCGGCCAGGUAGGUCUGCUGUGAAAACUCGAGGCUCAACCUCGAGCUGUCGGCGGAAACCAUCUGGCUAGAGUCCGGAAGAGGAGGAGUGGAAUUCCGUGGAUGUAGCGGUGAAAUGCGACAGAUAUCAGGAAGAACACCCGUGGCGGAAAGGGCGGGCUCUCGUGGGACGGUACUGACGCUGAGACGCGAAAGCGUGGGGAGCGAACAGGG